rnacentral:rRNA from 1 species
GAUGAACGCUAGCGGCAGGCCUAAUACAUGCAAGUCGAACGGGUGGUCGCAAGACCCCUAGUGGCGCACGGGUGCGUAACGCGUAACCAACCUGCCCCGAUCUGGGGGAUAGCCCGCCGAAAGGCGGAUUAAUACCGCAUAUACCCGCAGCCUGGCAUCAGGCAACGGGGAAAGAUUUAUUGGAUCGGGAUGGGGUUGCGUGACAUUAGCUAGUUGGCGGGGUAAGGGCCCACCAAGGCGACGAUGUCUAGGGGACCUGAGAGGGUGAUCCCCCACACUGGCACUGAGAUACGGGCCAGACUCCUACGGGAGGCAGCAGUAGGGAAUAUUGGGCAAUGGGCGAGAGCCUGACCCAGCCAUGCCGCGUGCCGGAUGAAGGCCUUCUGGGGUGUAAACGGCUUUUCUCAGGGAAGAAAAAGACCUUGCGAGGUACACUGACGGUACCUGAGGAAUAAGCACCGGCUAACUCCGUG